UAUCCCCAGAGCAAGACUGUGCUGUCCUGGAGUAGAUGCAAGAAGGAAGCAUCUCGUACACCGAGUGCGGCAGGUGCAAGUGUUUGAGGCUGUCGGUUGCUCUUCCUGACACCUGCAGAGUCCAUCGCUGCAAUUCAGAGCCAGGUGCUUGAAAAACCGAGCCGGGCCUUGCUGAGGACGGGCCGCGUGUUUACGCCCAGAGCACCCACUCUGCGCCAAGCCCUGUGUCACAAGAUUCCAUGUGCUCCAGCAGCAACAAAGAGGAGACCCUAGCGGAUGGAUGAGCCAGCACUUUGAAGAGCUGGGUCCCGAUGCCAACAAUAAGAGGCCCUAGAAGAUGACUGAGGACGCUGGUAGAGUACCUGUUCAGCACCGUCUUACUUGAUGUGUGGCUUCAGUUUGCCCAGAUAUAAAGUGGGGUAAGUACCUCUGCUCUGCCUGCGCCCCAAGGUGGUUGUAAGAAUCCAGAAUGUGAAAGUGUUGUGCAAAUUGCCAAUUCUGGGGAACACGGAGAUGACAGCCCACUUCUCUGUCCGGGAUGCUGCCGGAAGUGUGGUCAGUGGUCACAUGGCCUCCAGAUCUCAGCCCCUGUAGCCGGGAUCGGCUGCAGAUAGCCACCUCGCCCGAGGUCGUGCCCUCCCCAGGGCAGCCUGCAGCCAGGGGAUGAGACAGCAGGGGGCACAAAGACCCAGCCAUUUGGGUCCACAAGGGACACUGUUGGGCACUGGUUGGGCCUGUACCAUCAGACCUGCAUCGAGGUCUCUCUCUGCCCCCUACCUCCUCCCCCCCUCUUUCCUCUCACACGUGUUGACCCCUCGUAACACCUUGCACCCCAAACUUCACCCCCAACUGCUUUCGGGGAACCCCGCCUGCAAAAACUAUGUAAGAAGGUUGUCUUGCUAACACCACUAUCCUCAUUACACAGAGAAGGCAGCCCCUGGGGCCCAAACCACCCACCCCUGAAAAACAGGCCCUUUAACGGUGGCUCAGAUUCCCAGAAAUCCGGAAAUACAGUUCAGCUGGGAGGGAGGCUGUCCAAGUUGAGUUUUGUUAGAGUUGCAGGUGAAGCUACAAUGCGGGAUAGAAGGUGUGUGGAGCUACAAAGCUAA